GUGAAUCAUCGAAUCUUUGAACGCAAAUUGCGCUUCCUAGCAUCCCGGGAAGUAUGCCUGUUUGAGGGUCAGUAUUAACAAAAAAAUCGGUUUGGUUGCAAAUUGUGACGAUUCCGGAGUUUGGGCUAUCGUAACGUUUUUGGUUAAGGGGCGUAAAAGUGACCUUGUGUGCGCACUUGUAGACGUACAUAAAUUGUUUUUUGUAUUCGUCUAUUCGUAAUGCCAAAAGCAUAUUAGAUGCGAUCACAGCGUGUGGGUUG
rnacentral:misc_RNA from 1 species